rnacentral:rRNA from 1 species
GAUGAACGCUGGCGGCGUGCCUAAUACAUGCAAGUCGAGCGAACGGACGAGAAGCUUGCUUCUCUGAUGUUAGCGGCUGACGGGUGAGUAACACGUGGAUAACCUACCUAUAAGUCUGGGAUAACUUCGGGAAACCGGAGCUAAUACCGGAUAAUAUUUUGAACCGCAUGGUUCAAAAGUGAAAGACGGUCUUGCUGUCUCUUAUAGAUGGUUCCGCGCUGCAUUAGCUAGUUGGUAAGGUAACGGCUUACCAAGGCAACGAUGCAUAGCCGACCUGAGAGGGUGAUCGGCCACACUGGAACUGAGACACGGUCCAGACUCCUACGGGAGGCAGCAGUAGGGAAUAUUGCGCAAUGGGCGAAAGCCUGACGGAGCAACGCCGCGUGAGUGAUGAAGGUCUUCGGAUCGUAAAACUCUGUUAUUAGGGAAGAAAAUAUGUGUAAGUAACUGUGCACAUCUUGACGGUACCUAAACAGAAAGCCACGGCUAACUACGUG